rnacentral:rRNA from 1 species
GACGAACGCUGGCGGCGUGCCUAAUACAUGCAAGUCGAACGCAGUGGGGACGGGUGAGUAACACGGGGGUAACCUCCCAGCAGAGGGGAUAACACUUGGAAACAGGUGCUAAACCGAUACUGAUGGAUGGACCCGCGGUGCAUUAGCUAGGUGGUGAGGCGACGGCUCACCAAGGCCACGAUGCAUAGCCUGCCCUAGAGGGGGAUCGGCCCAAACGUGACGGAGACAAGGGCCAGGCUCCUACGGGGGGCAGCAGUAGGGAAUCUUCGGCAAUGGACGGAAGUCUGACCGAGCAACGCCGGGUGAGGGGAGAAGGUUUUCGGAUCGUAAAGCUCUGUUAUUUGGGAAGCGGUACCUAACCAGUAAGGGACGGCUAACUACGUGCCAGCAGCCGCGGUAAUUC